rnacentral:rRNA from 1 species
GACGAACGCUGGCGGCGUGCUUAACACAUGCAAGUCAGGGGGCGGGGUAACCCGUCACCGGCGAACGGGUGCGGAACACGUGAGCGACCUGCCCUGGUGUGGGGGAUAGCCGGCCCAACGGCCGGGUAAUACCGCAUACGGCGCCCGCUUGGAAGCGGGAGGCGAAACUCGCAAGAGGCGCUAGGAGGGGCUCGCGGCCUAUCAGCUAGUUGGUGCGGUAACGGCGCACCAAGGCGAUGACGGGUAGCUGGUCUGAGAGGAUGGCCAGCCACAUUGGGACUGAGAGACGGCCCAGACUCCUACGGGAGGCAGCAGUGGGGAAUAUUGCGCAAUGGGCGAAAGCCUGACGCAGCGACGCCGCGUGGAGGAUGAGGCCCUUCGGGGUGUAAACUCCUGUUGCCCGGGACGAAUGCCCCGCAUCGGCGGGGUUGACGGUACCGGGUGAGGAAGCGCCGGCUAACUCUGUGC